rnacentral:misc_RNA from 1 species
AAAGUCGUAACAAGGUUUCCGUAGGUGAACCUGCGGAAGGAUCAUUAUUGAAUAAAACCUGGUAGAUUGUUGCUGUUCCCUUCCGAGGGUCAACGUGCACAUCAGCCACACUUAUUUGUCCACCUGUGCACCUUAUGUAGACUUGGAUUGGAUUGGGAGAUCUGCUCAAGCCUCUUCAGUCUAUGUGUGUUUUUAUCACAUACACCAUGCAUAAAAUCCAUUAGUAUGUCAACAAUCAUGGGUCUUUGCACCUAUAAUAAAACAAUACAACUUUCAGCAACGGAUCUCUUGGCUCUC